rnacentral:rRNA from 1 species
AGGCAAAUCCGGAAAAUCAAGGCUGAGGCGUGAUGACGAGGCACUACGGUGCUGAAGCAACAAAUGCCCUGCUUCCAGGAAAAGCCUCUAAGCAUCAGGUAACAUCAAAUCGUACCCCAAACCGACACAGGUGGUCAGGUAGAGAAUACCAAGGCGCUUGAGAGAACUCGGGUGAAGGAACUAGGCAAAAUGGUGCCGUAACUUCGGGAGAAGGCACGCUGAUAUGUAGGUGAGGUCCCUCGCGGAUGGAGCUGAAAUCAGUCGAAGAUACCAGCUGGCUGCAACUGUUUAUUAAAAACACAGCACUGUGCAAACACGAAAGUGGACGUAUACGGUGUGACGCCUGCCCGGUGCCGGAA